rnacentral:rRNA from 1 species
CAGUCGCCGCGGUAAUACAGAGGGUGCGAGCGUUAAUCGGAUUUACUGGGCGUAAAGCGUGCGUAGGCGGCUUCUUAAGUCGGAUGUGAAAUCCCUGAGCUUAACUUAGGAAUUGCAUUCGAUACUGGGAAGCUAGAGUAUGGGAGAGGAUGGUAGAAUUCCAGGUGUAGCGGUAAAAUGCGUAGAGAUCUGGAGGAAUACCGAUGGCGAAGGCAGCCAUCUGGCCUAAUACUGACGCUGAGGUACGAAAGCAUGGGGAGCAAACAGGAUUAGAUACCCCCGUAGUCCCUGUCUCUUAUAC